UACGAAGGGGGCUAGCGUUGCUCGGAAUUACUGGGCGUAAAGCGCACGUAGGCGGCUUCUUAAGUCGGUGGUGAAAUCCUGGAGCUCAACUCCAGAACUGCCUUCGAUACUGGGAGCUCGAGUCCGGGAGAGGUGAGUGGAACUGCGAGUGUAGAGGUGAAAUUCGUAGAUAUUCGCAAGAACACCAGUGGCGAAGGCGGCUCACUGGCCCGGUACUGACGCUGAGGUGCGAAAAGCGUGGGGGAGCAAACAGGG
rnacentral:rRNA from 1 species